rnacentral:rRNA from 1 species
AUUGAACGCUGGCGGCAGGCCUAACACAUGCAAGUCGAACGAGUGGCGGACGGGUGAGUAAUGUCUGGGACACUGCCUGAUGGCGGGGGUUAACUACUGGAAACGGUAGCUAAUCCCGCAUACCAUCAGAUGUGCCCAGAUGGGAUUAGCGUGUUGGUGGGGUAACGGCUAACCAGGGCGACGAUCCCUAGCUGGUCUGAGGGGAUGACCGGCCACACUGGAACUGAGACACGGUCCAGACUCCUACGGGAGGCAGCAGUGGGGAAUAUUGCACAAUGGGCGAAAGCCUGAUGCAGCCAUGCCGCGUGUAUGAAGAAGGCCUUCGGGUUGUAAAGUACUUUCAGCGGGGAGGCGUUACCCACAGAGGAAGCACCGGCUAACUCCGUGCCAGCAGCCGCGGUAAUUC